UACGGGGGGGGCAAGCGUUGUUCGGAAUUACUGGGCGUAAAGGGCGCGUAGGCGGCGCAACAAGUCACUUGUGAAAUCUCCGGGCUUAACCCGGAGCGGCCAAGUGAUACUGUCGUGCUAGAGUGCGGAAGGGGCUACUGGAAUUCUCGGUGCAGCGGUGAAAUGCGUAGAUAUCGAGAGGAACACCUGCGGCGAAGGCGGGUAGCUGGGCCGACACUGACGCUGAGGCGCGAAAGCCAGGGGAGCGAACGGG
rnacentral:rRNA from 1 species